rnacentral:rRNA from 1 species
ACGGGUGAGUAACACGUGGGAACGUACCCUUUGGUUCGGAAUAACGCUGGGAAACUAGCGCUAAUACCGGAUACGCCCUUUUGGGGAAAGGCUUGCUGCCGAAGGAUCGGCCCGCGUCUGAUUAGCUAGUUGGUGGGGUAAUGGCCUACCAAGGCGACGAUCAGUAGCUGGUCUGAGAGGAUGAUCAGCCACACUGGGACUGAGACACGGCCCAGACUCCUACGGGAGGCAGCAAUGGGGAAUAUUGGACAAUGGGCGCAAGCCUGAUCCAGCCAUGCCGCGUGAGUGAUGAAGGCCUUAGGGUUGUAAAGCUCUUUUGUCCGGGACGAUAAUGACGGUACCGGAAGAAUAAGCCCCGGCUAACUUCGUGCCAGCAGCCGCGGUAAUACGAAGGGGGCUAGCGUUGCUCGGAAUCACUGGGCGUAAAGGGCGCGUAGGCGGCCAUUCAAGUCGGGGGUGAAAGCCUGUGGCUCAACCACAGAAUUGCCUUCGAUACUGUUUGGCUUGAGUAUGGUAGAGGUCGGUGGAACUGCGAGUGUAGAGGUGAAAUUCGUAGA